UGGGGAAUAUUGCACAAUGGGCGCAAGCCUGAUGCAGCCAUGCCGCGUGUGUGAAGAAGGCCUUCGGGUUGUAAAGCACUUUCAGCGAGGAGGAAGGUGGUGAACUUAAUACGUUCAUCAAUUGACGUUACUCGCAGAAGAAGCACCGGCUAACUCCGUGCCAGCAGCCGCGGUAAUACGGAGGAUGCAAGCGUUAAUCGGAAUUACUGGGCGUAAAGCGCACGCAGGCGGUUUGUUAAGUCAGAUGUGAAAUCCCCGGGCUCAACCUGGGAACUGCAUUUGAAACUGGCAAGCUAGAGUCUCGUAGAGGGGGGUAGAAUUCCAGGUGUAGCGGUGAAAUGCGUAGAGAUCUGGAGGAAUACCGGUGGCGAAGGCGGCCCCCUGGACGAAGACUGACGCUCAGGUGCGAAAGCGUGGGGAGCAAACAGGAUUAGAUACCCUGGUAGUCCACGCUGUAAAACGAUGUCGAUUUUGGAGGUUGUGCCCUUGAGGCGUGGCUUCCGGAGCUAACGCGUUAAAUCGACCGCCUGGGGAGUACGGCCGCAAGGUUAAAACUUAAAUGAAUUGACGGGGUCAU
rnacentral:rRNA from 1 species